UAGAGUUUGAUCCUGGCUCAGAAUCAACGCUGGCGGCGCGCUUAACAACAUGCAAGUCGGACGAGAAAGCCGGGGCAACCUGGUGAGUAAAGUGGCGCACGGGUGAGUAACACGUGGGUGAUCUACCUUUUUGUGGGGAAUAACCCUGGGAAACCGGGGCUAAUACCGCAUAAGCCUGGAAAGGGAAAGCAGCAAUGCGCAGGAAGAGGAGCCCGCGGCCGAUUAGCUAGUUGGUGGGGUAAAGGCCUACCAAGGCAGAGAUCGGUAGCCGGCCUGAGAGGGCACACGGCCACACUGGCACUGAAACACGGGCCAGACUCCUACGGGAGGCAGCAGUGGGGAAUCUUGCACAAUGGGGGAAACCCUGAUGCAGCGACGCCGCGUGAGUGAUGAAGCCCUUCGGGGUGUAAAGCUCUUUCGGCAGGAACGAUAAUGACGGUACCUGCAGAAGAAGCUGCGGCUAACUACGUGCCAGCAGCCGCGGUAAUACGUAGGCAGCAAGCGUUGUUCGGAGUUACUGGGCGUAAAGAGUGUGUAGGCGGUUUUCUAAGUUCGGUGUGAAAUCUCCCGGCUCAACUGGGAGGGUGCGCCGAAGACUGGGAGGCUUGAGUGCGGGAGAGGAAAGCGGAAUUCCUGGUGUAGCGGUGAAAUGCGUAGAUAUCAGGAGGAACACCUGCGGUGUAGACGGCUUUCUGGACCGUAACUGACGCUGAGACACGAAAGCGUGGGUAGCAAACAGGAUUAGAUACCCUGGUAGUCCACGCCCUAAACGAUGCAUACUUGGUGUGGGCAGUUCAUUC
rnacentral:rRNA from 1 species